UGAGUCGUACAGGCGACCGCUGCGGCGCUGUUUGGCGCCGGGGAGGAAAGUCCGGGCUCCACAGGGCAAAGACGCCGGGUAAUACCCGGUCGGCGCGAGUCGAAGGAAAGUGCCACAGAGAACAUACCGCCUGCGGUUUGGGUAAGGGUGAAAAGGCAGGGUAAGAGCCUACCAAGCGUGGGGUAAUCCGCGUGUUUGGCAAACCCCGUCUGGAGCAAGACCGAAUAGAGGGGGAUGAAGUGGCCCGCUGACCCCUGGGUCGGUCGCGUGAGUCUUUUGACUCAGAGGUACGCCGUGAGGCACACCCUAGAUAAAUGGUCGCAUGAACACAGAACCCGGCUUAUGCACGACUCAUCAG
rnacentral:RNase_P_RNA from 1 species